rnacentral:rRNA from 1 species
UACGGAGGGUGCAAGCGUUAUCCGGAUUUACUGGGUUUAAAGGGUGCGUAGGUGGGCGUGUAAGUCAGUGGUGAAAUCUCCGGGCUUAACCCGGAAACUGCCAUUGAUACUAUUUGUCUUGAAUACCGUGGAGGUGAGCGGAAUAUGUCAUGUAGCGGUGAAAUGCUUAGAUAUGACAUAGAACACCAAUUGCGAAGGCGGCUCACUACACGAAUAUUGACACUGAGGCACGAAAGCGUGGGGAGCAAACAGG